UCCACUUUACGCCAGGCGAAUAGACUUUGGUUAAUGUGGAUAUACUGUAGAUCUGUGGGGAAGUGGGGGUCUGCCAUUCAGCUUCACUUAUUUGUAGUUAUGCAGUUUAUUCUGGGAACUUUGUUCCUAACACUUGUCUGUGACUCUUCAUUUAACAGGAACCCAGCGCAGAGAAGUUCUAAAAAGUGCUUAUAGUAUCUCUAAACUACCUAUACUGCAUUACACCCUAAGAAACCUGUAACAUAUGGCUACAGCAGUGUCAGUCUCCAGUAAAUUUGAGAUAAAAGACUUGCAGAUGAUCAUCUCCUGAAAAGAACUCAACAGAUCACCCUUUAUAAAUGUAUGCAUUAAGCGAUUAAAGCAGGAGGAGAUCCGAGUAACUUAAUUCACAAAACAUCUCCGUUCAUCAUUUCCUCCUGCAUUUAAGUUUCAAUUACAGUUGAAAAAUGCAAAAUGCUAUGUGAAAAUAUCAUUACUGUGAGCUAUAGCUAUACACAGUCAAGGUAAAUCAAGUCUAUAGCUUUUUGUUUCAAGAAUCCAUUCCUCUGGCACCUUCUCAAUCCAUCUAGCAAGAUUUAUAUGCAAGAUAGGAAACUAAAGGAAGAGAGAUUGGUCCUUAUAAUCUACUUCAAAGCACUGGAAACGGAACCUUUUUAUCAGCUCAACUUCAUCUAAAUUAACUAAGCAGCAACAAGCUCACAGACAAAAUACCCAUAAUAUGUGUGCGCAUAAAUUGAACCGGGGAGUGAACCACCACGUUCCCAAAUAUGACUGCAUGAAAAGAUCAAACUCAAAAAUAAAGGCUGAGAGAUUAUCUAG